AUUGAACGCUGGCGGCAGGCCUAACACAUGCAAGUCGAACGAGGGGCGGACGGGUGUGUAAUGUCUGGGAACCUGCCUGAUGGAGGGGGAUAACUACUGGAACCGGUAGCAAAUACCGCAUACCAUCGGAUGUGCCCAGAUGGGAUUAGCUAGUAGGUGGGGUUAAGGCUCACCAAGGCGACGAUCCCUAGCUGGUCUGAGCGGAGGACCAGCGACACUUGAACUGAGACACGGGCCAGACUCCUACGGGAGGCAGCAGUGGGGAAUAUUGCACAAUGGGCGCAAGCCUGAUGCAGCCAUGCCGCGGGUAUGAAGAAGGCCUUCGGGGUGUAAAGUACUUUCAGCUGGGAUGCGUUACCCGCAGAAGAAGCACCGGCUAACUCCGUGCCAGCAGCCGCGGUAAUAC
rnacentral:rRNA from 1 species